GACGAACGCUGGCGGCGUGCUUAACACAUGCAAGUCGAACGGAAAGGCCCUGCUUUUGUGGGGUGCUCGAGUGGCGAACGGGUGAGUAACACGUGAUUAACCUGCCCUUGACUUUGGGAUAACUUCAGGAAACUGGGGCUAAUACCGGAUAGGAGCUCCUGCUGCAUGGUGUGGGUUGGAAAGUUUCGGCGGUUUGGGAUGGACUCGCGGCUUAUCAGCUUGUUGGUGGGGUAGUGGCUUACCAAGGCUUUGACGGGUAGCCGGCCUGAGAGGGUGACCGGCCACAUUGGGACUGAGAUACGGCCCAGACUCCUACGGGAGGCAGCAGUGGGGAAUAUUGCACAAUGGGCGGAAGCCUGAUGCAGCAACGCCGCGUGCGGGAUGACGGCCUUCGGGUUGUAAACCGCUUUCGCCUGUGACGAAGCGUGAGUGACGGUAAUGGGUAAAGAAGCACCGGCUAACUACGUG
rnacentral:rRNA from 1 species